GCGAAUUUUUUUUUCCGUGACGCGGUUUCGGGCUUCGAGUCGCGUACGGAGCUCUCGGAAGGUGUACUCGGUAGCCUUUAACAGUAAACGUGCUUCCCCCUUAAAUUUGCUCCUUCUUUUGCUUCAGAUCGUAUGACAUUAUGGACCGAUGUUCUGGCACUAAGCCUAAUCGGUCCUGCAGUAAUGAAGUGAUGGGUCUGCACAUGGACAGCUGUAUAACUGUUGCAACUGCUGCAUUGUUUCGUGAGAUGGCCUGCUUGGCUUUCCCUCGCAGUUGUGCAUGGAGGAGCGCGAUGUGAAGAGCCACGUCCUGGCUGAGGUAGUGGUUUGUGCUGUUUGUCGGGUCGACACACUGCCCGCUAUGGAGAUGACUGCGCAAACCACUGCCUUGCUGGAGCUGGUGAUGCACCACCGACGAGGAGGCGCGGCGAAGCCUUUGUAGGGGCUGUUCUUUUCAGUUACAAUUACUGGAUGUUUGAUGAAGCUCUUUUUCUUGUAAAAUGAUGACCGAGUUGCAUUAAAAAAGCGUGGAUCUUU